rnacentral:rRNA from 1 species
CGCUGGCGGCGCGCCUAACACAUGCAAGUCGAACGGAGUUAAUUGAUCUGAAGUUUUCGGAUGGAAGAAUGGUUAACUUAGUGGCGAACGGGUGAGUAACACGUGAGUAACCUGCCUUUCAGUGGGGGACAACAUUUGGAAACGAAUGCUAAUACCGCAUAAGACCACGCUGGGACAUCCCAGAGAGGUCAAAGCAGCAAUGCGCUGAAAGAUGGGCUCGCGUCCGAUUAGCUAGUUGGUGAGGUAACGGCCCACCAAGGCAACGAUCGGUAGCCGGACUGAGAGGUUGAACGGCCACAUUGGGACUGAGACACGGCCCAGACUCCUACGGGAGGCAGCAGUGGGGAAUAUUGCACAAUGGAGGAAACUCUGAUGCAGCGACGCCGCGUGAGGGAAGAAGGUCUUCGGAUUGUAAACCUCUGUCUUUGGGGACGAUAAUGACGGUACCCAAGGAGGAAGCACCGGCUAACUACGUG